rnacentral:rRNA from 1 species
GAUGAACGCUGGCGGCGUGCCUAAUACAUGCAAGUCGAGCGAACAGACGAGGAGCUUGCUCCUCUGACGUUAGCGGCGGACGGGUGAGUAACACGUGGAUAACCUACCUAUAAGACUGGGAUAACUUCGGGAAACCGGAGCUAAUACCGGAUAACAUGUUGAACCGCAUGGUUCAACAGUGAAAGACGGUCUUGCUGUCACUUAUAGAUGGGUCCGCGCCGCAUUAGCUAGUUGGUAAGGUAACGGCUUACCAAGGCAACGAUGCGUAGCCGACCUGAGAGGGUGAUCGGCCACACUGGAACUGAGACACGGUCCAGACUCCUACGGGAGGCAGCAGUAGGGAAUCUUCCGCAAUGGGCGAAAGCCUGACGGAGCAACGCCGCGUGAGUGAAGAAGGUCUUCGGAUCGUAAAACUCUGUUAUUAGGGAAGAACAAAUGUGUAAGUAACUAUGCACGUCUUGACGGUACCUAAGCAGAAAGCCACGGCUAACUACGU